rnacentral:rRNA from 1 species
UACGUAGGGUGCAAGCGUUGUCCGGAAUUAUUGGGCGUAAAGAGCUCGUAGGCGGUUCGUCGCGUCGGCUGUGAAAACCUGAGGCUCAACCUCAGGCCUGCAGUCGAUACGGGCAGACUGGAGUUCGGCAGGGGAGACUGGAAUUCCUGGUGUAGCGGUGGAAUGCGCAGAUAUCAGGAGGAACACCGGUGGCGAAGGCGGGUCUCUGGGCCGUUACUGACGCUGAGGAGCGAAAGCGUGGGGAGCGAACAGG